GACGAACGCUGGCGGCGUGCUUAACACAUGCAAGUUGAACGAAGUACCUCGAGUUUACUCUUGGUAACUUAGUAGCGGACGGGUGAGUAACGCGUGAAUAACCUACCUUUGUGAGGGGGACAACAGCUGGAAACGGCUGCUAAUACCGCAUAAGACCACGGUGUCGAGUGACACAGUGGUAAAAGAUUUAUCACACAAAGAUGGAUUCGCGUCCCAUUAGCUAGUUGGUAAGGUAACGGCUUACCAAGGCGACGAUGGGUAGCCGACCUGAGAGGGUGAUCGGCCACACUGGAACUGAGACACGGUCCAGACUCCUNACGGGAGGCAGCAGUGGGGAAUAUUGGGCAAUGGGCGAAAGCCUGACCCAGCAACGCCGCGUGAGGGAAGAAUGUCUUCGGAUUGUAAACCUCUGUCCUUGGGGACGAAAAAAAUGACGUACCCAAGGAGAAGCUACCGCUAACU
rnacentral:rRNA from 1 species